UCGGGUAUGGUGUAACGGCUAACAUUGCCGCCUCUCAUUUGGGCAUUGAGAAGGAGUGUGCGCGGCAGCUCGGGGUUCGAUUCCCCGUACCCGAA